rnacentral:rRNA from 1 species
UACGGGGGGUGCGAGCGUUGUCCGGAAUCACUGGGCGUAAAGGGCGCGUAGGUGGUUUGAUAAGGGUGUGGUGAAAGUCCGGGGCUCAACUCCGGAUCUGCCGUGCCGACUGUCAAACUCGAGGGCUGUAGAGGCAGACGGAAUUCCGGGUGUAGCGGUGGAAUGCGUAGAGAUCCGGAAGAACACCAGUGGCGAAGGCGGCCCGCUGGGCAGUGGCUGACGCUGAAGCGCGACAGCGUGGGGAGCAAACAGG